rnacentral:rRNA from 1 species
UACAGAGGGUGCAAGCGUUAAUCGGAUUUACUGGGCGUAAAGCGCACGUAGGCUGUUACUUAAGUCAGAUGUGAAAUCCCCGGGCUUAACCUGAGAAUUGCAUUUGAUACUGGGUAGCUAGAGGUUGAUAGAGGAAAGUGGAAUUUUCGGUGUAGCGGUGAAAUGCGUAGAUAUCGGAAGGAACAUCAGUGGCGAAGGCGACUUUCUGGAUCAAUUCUGACGCUGAGGUGCGAAAGCGUGGGGAGCAAACAGG